rnacentral:rRNA from 1 species
UACGAAGGGGGCUAGCGUUGCUCGGAAUCACUGGGCGUAAAGCGCACGUAGGCGGAUUUGUAAGUCAGGGGUGAAAUCCCGGGGCUCGACCUCGGAACUGCCUUUGAUACUGGGUAUCUCGAGUCCGAGAGAGGUGAGUGGAAUUCCGAGUGUAGAGGUGAAAUUCGUAGAUAUUCGGAGGAACACCAGUGGCGAAGGCGGCUCACUGGCUCGGUACUGACGCUGAGGUGCGAAAGCGUGGGGAGCAAACA